CUGGAAGGUUCCAGCUACACACACACGCAACUUCUCUGACCUUCCUUCCCGGUAUAUGCAAAGGCCCUUGCCACUCGACGGGCUUCCAGACGGCAAGCGUGGAAGUCGAAGCCCGUAUUCAUUGGGACUAGCCUGAGGAGAUGUUCAAGGUUCUGCUAUGAAGCAUCUUGCCAGUAAUUCCAUCAAUCAUCAGCUGUGGAUUGUAUCUCACCUGGAUAAUGCACAGUACCAGAAACUGAAAUGCAUUCAGCUCCAUCUCAACUCUAUCUCAUUAGUUGGUUUUAUAAAUGCAACUUCUCCUUAGCUUCAGUUCUCCUCAUCUAAAUGAUUAAGGAAAAUAGAUCAGUACUGUAAAUGGCAUCUUAUAUCUUCUCCUGAUUCCACUCAACUCCCUUUUAGAGAGGGGGAGGAAUAUGACAUCAUCUAUCUCCAGCCUACAACACAGUCCUUUC